AUUGAACGCUGGCGGCAGGCCUAACACAUGCAAGUCGAACGAGUGGCGGACGGGUGAGUAAUGUCUGGGAAACUGCCCGAUGGAGGGGGAUAACUACUGGAAACGGUAGCUAAUACCGCAUACCCUCAGAUGUGCCCAGAUGGGAUUAGCUAGUUGGUGGGGUAACGGCUCACCAGGGCGACGAUCCCUAGCUGGUCUGAGAGGAUGACCAGCCACACGGGAACUGAGACACGGUCCAGACUCCUACGGGAGGCAGCAGUGGGGAAUAUUGCACAAUGGGCGCAAGCCUGAUGCAGCCAUGCCGCGUGUAUGAAGAAGGCCUUCGGGUUGUAAAGUACUUUCAGCGUGGAGGCGUUACCCGCAGAAGAAGCACCGGCUAACUCCGUGCCAGCCGCCGCGGUAAUAC
rnacentral:rRNA from 1 species